rnacentral:rRNA from 1 species
CCUACGGGAGGCAGCAGUGGGGAAUAUUGCACAAUGGGGGAAACCCUGAUGCAGCGACGCCGCGUGAGUGAAGAAGUAUCUCGGUACGUAAAGCUCUAUCAGCAGGGAAGAAAAUGACGGUACCUGACUAAGAAGCCCCGGCUAACUACGUGCCAGCAGCCGCGGUAAUACGUAGGGGGCAAGCGUUAUCCGGAUUUACUGGGUGUAAAGGGAGCGUAGACGGCAGCACAAGUCUGGAGUGAAAACCCGGGGCUCAACUCCGGGAGUGCAUUUGAAACUGUCCAGCUAGAGUGCAGGAGAGGUAA